GCCCGGGUGGCUCGGUUGGCUAAGCAUCUGACUUUGACUCAGGUCAUGAUCUCAUGGUUCGUGAGUUCGGGCCCCGCCUCGGGCC
rnacentral:tRNA from 1 species